rnacentral:rRNA from 1 species
UACGUAGGGGGCUAGCGUUGUCCGGAUUUAUUGGGCGUAAAGAGCGUGUAGGCGGCCAGGUAGGUCUGCUGUGAAAACUCGAGGCUCAACCUCGAGACGUCGGCGGAAACCAGCUGGCUAGAGUCCGGAAGAGGAGAGUGGAAUUCCUGGUGUAGCGGUGAAAUGCGCAGAUAUCAGGAAGAACACCCGUGGCGAAGGCGGCCCACUGGGCCGGUGCUGACGCUGAGGCGCGAAGGCGUGGGGAGCGAACGGG